rnacentral:rRNA from 1 species
GCCACUGAUAUUAAUUAAAGGGCCGCGGUAAUUUGACCGUGCGAAGGUAGCACAAUCACUUGCCUUUUAAUUGGAGGCUAGUAUGAACGGCUGGAUGAGGGAUUAAAUGUCUCUGAGUUGUAAUUAAAAUUUUACUUUUAAGUGAAAAGGCUUAAAUUUUAUUAAGUGAAGAUAAGACCCUAUAAAACUUAUACACAAAUAAGUCAUGUUGAGUUUGAUACGGUAUAAAAUGAGAUGGUAUAUAUUGUGUUUUGUUGGGGCGACAAAAAUAGAACUAGUAUCUGUUGUUUUUAAUAAGUUAAUGAUAAUUAAAAGAUGAGCCUUUUUUAUGGAUCUGAAGAUUAAGUUACUUUAGGGAUAACAGCGUAAUUUUCUUUGAGAGAUCUAAUCGACAAGAGUAGUUGCGACCUCGAUGUUGAAUUAAAAUUUUCUAUCAAGUGCAGUAGCUUGGAUAGUAAGUCUGUUCGACUUUUAAAAUUUUACAUGAUCUGAGUUC